GGGGCCGACCAGGUUUCGACGUGGGUGCGGAUCCGGAGUAGGGCAUGCCGAGCACCAGUCCGCUCGUAAAACCACUGGAAACAAAGUAACUGCAAACGACGAAAAGUUUGCCCUCGCUGCUUAAUUAGCACGAGGCUCCGCAACAGUUGGCCUAUGGGCUGGGGUGGCAACACCUGCGGAGUCAUUCACAUAGGCUGGUUGUCAGGCGGGCCGCACGCCGGAUGACGAGACUCAGCGGCUGGCUUGGUUGACAGCGUGCUCCUGCGCGGUCGCCAAGCAAGAAUCAAAUCAGAGGGCUAAGCAUGUAGAACUGCCCGGUGAUGGCUUGCGGACGGGGGUUCAAUUCCCCCCGGCUCCACCA
rnacentral:tmRNA from 1 species